UACGAAGGGUGCAAGCGUUAAUCGGAAUUACUGGGCGUAAAGGGCGCGUAGGCGGUUUUACAAGUCAGACGUGAAAGCCCCGGGCUUAACCUGGGAAUGGCGUUUGAUACUGUGAGGCUAGAGGACGGGAGAGGAAAGCAGAAUUCCUAGUGUAGAGGUGAAAUUCGUAGAUAUUAGGAAGAAUACCGGAGGCGAAGGCGGCUUUCUGGACCGUAACUGACGCUGAGGCGCGAAAGCGUGGGGAGCAAACAGG
rnacentral:rRNA from 1 species